rnacentral:rRNA from 1 species
UACGUAGGGGGCUAGCGUUGUUCGGAAUCAUUGGGCGUAAAGGGCGCGUAGGCGGCCGAUCAAGUCGGCGGUGAAAUCCCUCGGCUCAACUGAGGAACUGCCUUCGAUACUGUUCGGCUUGAGUCCUGGAGAGGGUAGCGGAAUUCCCGGUGUAGCGGUGAAAUGCGUAGAGACCGGGAAGAACACCAGUGGCGAAGGCGGCUACCUGGACAGGUACUGACGCUGAAGCGCGAAAGCUAGGGGAGCAAACAGG